rfam:Ornithorhynchus anatinus chromosome 7, whole genome shotgun sequence.
AGCAGUGUGGCUUAAUGGAAAGAGAACUGGCCUGGGAAUCAGAGGACCUGGGCUCUAAUCCCAGCUCUGCCA